rnacentral:rRNA from 1 species
CAGUCGCCGCGGUAAUACGAAGGGGGCUAGCGUUGUUCGGAUUUACUGGGCGUAAAGGGUGCGUAGGCGGACUGAUAAGUCAGGGGUGAAAUCCCAAGGCUCAACCUUGGAACUGCCUUUGAUACUGUUAGCCUUGAGUUCGAGAGAGGUGAGUGGAACUGCGAGUGUAGAGGUGAAAUUCGUAGAUAUUCGCAAGAACACCAGUGGCGAAGGCGGCUCACUGGCUCGAAACUGACGCUGAGGCACGAAAGCGUGGGGAGCAAACAGGAUUAGAGACCCCGCGUAGUCCCUGUCUCUUAUA